rnacentral:rRNA from 1 species
UACGUAGGGGGCAAGCGUUAUCCGGAUUUAUUGGGCGUAAAGCGUGUGUAGGCGGUUUACUAAGUCUAAGAUGAAAGCCCGAGGCUUAACCUCGGUUUGUUUUAGAUACUGGUAGGCUAGAGUAUGGUAGAGGCAAAUGGAAUUCCUAGUGUAGCGGUGGAAUGCGUAGAUAUUAGGAGGAACAUCAGUGGCGAAGGCGAUUUGCUGGGCCAUCACUGACGCUGAGACACGAAAGCGUGGGGAGCAAAUAGGAUUAGAUACCCUAGUAGUCCACGCCGUAAACGAUGAGCACUAAGUGUCGGGUAACCGGUGCUGAAGUUAACACAUUAAGUGCUCCGCCUGAGUAGUACGGUCGCAAGACUUAA